GUCAAGAUGGCCGAGUUGGUCUAAGGCGCCCGCUUCAGGUGCGGGUCCGACGCCGAAAGGGCGUGGGUUCAAAGCCCACUCUUGACA
rnacentral:tRNA from 1 species